rnacentral:misc_RNA from 1 species
GAUGAAGAACGCAGUGAAAUGCGAUAACUAGUGUGAAUUGCAGAAUUCCGUGAAUCAUCGAGUCUUUGAACGCACAUUGCGCCCCCUGGUAUUCCGGGGGGCAUGCCUGUCCGAGCGUCAUUGCUGCCCAUCAAGCACGGCUUGUGUGUUGGGUCGUCGUCCCCUCUCCGGGGGGGACGGGCCCCAAGGCAGCGGCGGCACCGCGUCCGAUCCUCGAGCGUAUGGGGCUUUGUCACCCGCUCUGUAGGCCCGGCCGGCGCUUGCCGAACGCAAAUCAAUCUUUUUCCAGGUUGACCUCGGAUCAGGUAGGGAUACCCGCUGAACUUAAGCAUAUCAAUAAGCGGAGGA